UACGUAGGGUGCGAGCGUUGUCCGGAAUUAUUGGGCGUAAAGGGCUCGUAGGCGGUUUGUCGCGUCGGGAGUGAAAACCAGGUGCUUAACACCUGGCUUGCUUUCGAUACGGGCAGACUAGAGGUAUGCAGGGGAGAACGGAAUUCCUGGUGUAGCGGUGAAAUGCGCAGAUAUCAGGAGGAACACCGGUGGCGAAGGCGGUCUCUGGGCAUGACCUGACGCUGAGGUGCGAAAGCGUGGGGAGCAAACAGG
rnacentral:rRNA from 1 species